AGAACGAACGCUGGCGGCAUGCCUAAUACAUGCAAGUCGAACGAACUCUUCGGAGUUAGUGGCGCACGGGUGCGUAACGCGUGGGAAUCUGCCCCUUGGUUCGGAAUAACAGUUGGAAACGACUGCUAAUACCGGAUGAUGACGAAAGUCCAAAGAUUUAUCGCCAAGGGAUGAGCCCGCGUAGGAUUAGCUAGUUGGUGAGGUAAAGGCUCACCAAGGCAACGAUCCUUAGCUGGUCUGAGAGGAUGAUCAGCCACACGUGGGACUGAGACCACGGCCCAG
rnacentral:rRNA from 1 species